rnacentral:rRNA from 1 species
UACGAAGGGGGCUAGCGUUGCUCGGAAUUACUGGGCGUAAAGCGCGUGUAGGCUGCUUCGCAAGUCGGAUGUGAAAGCCCUGGGCUCAACCCAGGAAGUGCAUUCGAAACUGCAGAGCUGGAGUCCUGGAGAGGAAGGCGGAAUUCUCGGUGUAGAGGUGAAAUUCGUAGAUAUCGAGAGGAACACCGGUGGCGAAGGCGGCCUUCUGGACAGUGACUGACGCUGAGACGCGAAAGCGUGGGGAGCAAACAGG